UCUAGAUCCCACAGAUGUUUGUGUCAGGGUGUUGGAGUCAACAUCGUGAAGCCAAGGCUGAUUUUGAAGAUUGACAUUUUCCAUCCAAAUACAUGUCACGCUAAAGAACGGAGCCGGACAAAAAUGUUUAAAUUUAGAGUCAAAGUUCAUCAAAAAGAUCUUGCAGAGAACUGCAAACAACACCAGGAGUGCUCAAUAAAAUGCAUAAAGAAGAGGAAAGCUGCAUUUUCAAAUGUCAAUAAUGUGCCCAGUUUGUACCUUGCUUUUAAAGGGAUUGUUCCCUCUUUAACUUUACUUUAAUCACCUCUAUAUGUUUUAAACCUUUGUUAAAAUACUUUGAGCUUUGUUUUUCUAUUGAAACAAACAAACAAACAAAAAUGUAUUUAAAAGAAUGUUGAAAAUAGUAGUCAUUGAUUUCUACUUUUUUUAAUGUGAAAGUCAGACUACUGGUUUCCAACAUUUUUUAAAAUAUCUUCACUGUGUUUAACCGA